AAGAAGGGAAGGGAAAGAAAAAACCCCUCUGUACUAUGCAUGUAGAACGUAGACUAUAUGUAUUUAAUAAUCACCGGCGGAUCUUUAGAUUAGAGGCGUGUUAAUAAAAAUGAGACGCUUCACCGAGCGAAACACACCGCUUUUGGUGUGACGCGAAAACCAGAUUGAUCCGGUUUGGUAGGUUUAAUAAGUUGAAUCAGGUGUUAGAGCGGGAAAACGCGGUGAAAAGGAAACUCAGGAGCAGGAUUUCAAAAAAAAAAAAAAAAAAAGGAACACACAGAUAAAGAAGUAGGUUUUAGAUAAACGGUCUAUAUUAAUUCUCCUCCCUUUCACGUCAUCUUGCUUUAAAAAAAUAAGGCCGACUAAAGAAAAGGGACAAAACUUUUUUUUUCCGGAUUCGUCUUUUUCUGUGUUUAAUUACUUCGCCAACACGGAAAUUCCAAGCCAAUUGUUUUGAUGAGUCUUAGUCUGACAUGAAGGUGAUAAAAUCCCGUGAGUGUGAUGUCGGGAUUAAUUACAGAUCUUUAGAACAAAAGCAAACGCGUCAGGCGACGUACAAAACAAGCAAGAA